rnacentral:lncRNA from 1 species
UGCCCGCCCUGGGCCAGGAGUGCGCCACCGUGCACUGCAGGUCAGCACUUCAUCUGAGCCUCCUCAGUCCACCUUCUUGUUCCUCGUAAAGCUGUCUGAAGAGAGCUUUGUAAUCUCAUUAUGACCGAAUUUCCCUGGGAAAGGAAGGUAGCCUCAUGGACAUGAAGGAGGACCUGGAAAUACUGAUGGCCUUGGAAUGAGCCGAGCUAAUAGCCAACUACAAUCAGGGCUGCCAAGGAAGGACACUGGUGGAACCUUGGAAAGAUGCUGACCUCUUGCUGUACAAAGUCACCGACCAUCUUGGUUUUUUGCAGGAGAGAACGUGUUCUUGGUGACCAAUUUCCUUGUGACGCCAGAACAAGUUCAGGGCAGAUGCCCAGAGGGAUGGAGAAGCCCAUUUCUACUGGAGGACCAAGUAUGAAGAGGAGGGCUGCCGGCCUGCCCAGACCCUGGGCUACACUUUGGAGGAUGGUGGCUGGAGCCCCAACCUGCUGUCCUCAUCUGCAGCAAAGGCCCCAAAGGGGACUGCCGACCCUGAGCAGACAGAACUGCCUUCCCCACCCCCACAUCCGGCUGCCCAGCUGCCACGACCCCAGGACUCCUCCCGAUGCCCGCACCCAGCCACCCCAACAUCCUCCCGACUAUACUUCUGCCUCUGCUCUUGGCCCCCAUUCCUCUCAACUCUGCCGUGAGAGCCCUUUGCAAACUUUAACUCAGGAUCAUUGUGAAGGAUGCUGGAGUGUUUUCAGGUGAAGAAAAAAGCAUGAGAGGGGCCGGCCUGGUGGCGCAGCGGUUAAGUGUGCAGUUGUGCUUUGACGGCCCGGGGUUUGCUGGUUCGGAUCCCGGGUGCCAACAUGGAACUGCUUGGCACGCCAUGCUGUGGUAGGCAUCCCAUAUAUAAAGUAGAGGAAGAUGGGCACGGAUAUUAGCUCAGGGCCAGUCUUCCUCAGCGAAAAGAGGAUUGGUAGCAGUUAGCUCAGGGCUAAUCUUCCUCAAAAAAAAAAAAAAAGCAUGAGAGAAAUGUGGAUGACAGGGUGGUGUGUGGGGGAUGAGUGAAGCUGGAGACAGAGGGUUAAGGGGGACAACCCACCCUCGUGGGCAGGGGUGGAUGUCCACUGCGAGUGUCGUGGGGAAACAGCACCACUGCUAUCUGACCCCAGAUCAUCGUCUCACAAAGUGUGUUCAUAUCUCUUCUCUUGACUUAAUGAGUCUGGUAACAAAAGCCACUAAUGUGUUAAUGUUGAGCUUGUAGAAACUAUGAUAUCUUAUUUCCGUCUAAUUUGACAGAAGCAACCACCCUGCCCAGGGAAAGAGGGACCUUUAACACUCAGGCCAGGACAGAGCCCUCCCAGCAAGAUGCUCAUGUGGGGCUGGCCAGUGCACAGUUCAGUUCCCAGCUGGACAUGACCCUCUGAGCUUCCAGAGCCACAGAAAAUGCAACACAUGUCCCAGGAGUGUCAGCUUCUUGUAUUAAUGCCACUCUGACCUGCUGAGGAGAAGGCAAAAUCCUCUGGCUUAGCUCCAGCUCCAGGCCUGUGCUGGCCAAGGCCCACUCUGGGCCUGCUUCCCUGAGCUCCUGGGGUCCGCCACUCCUGGCCACUUCAGUGUUAUAGUCGCCUCGGCCUGUUGCCACUGUAAAUGAACCCACUGUCCCUCUGAGUGAGGACGAGGGGGUACCCAGUGGUUUCUGCAGUCCCCCAGUACUCAGGGGACUGUGUAGGUGACCACACUGGAGGCUGAGCCCAGGCACCAC